rnacentral:lncRNA from 1 species
GUUAGCAGUUUCAGAUGAUCAGCUACCAUCUAAAAACAACAAAUCAAAAAUCUCUACGGAAUGGAGCAGCGUGUCUCAGCUGAGAUUUUCUGAUGACUCAGUAAGACUGAGACCCAAUAAGAGUGGAAAGCUACAGAGGCCUAGAUCAGAGUUUCAGUGGAACCGAUCUUCUUCACCCCCUACUCCCCCACUUCCCGAGAGAACUCCUGAAUCAUUUCUUCUUGCAGAUGAGGAGCGUAAGUCCCA